rnacentral:rRNA from 1 species
AACGAACGCUGGCGGCGUGGAUUAGGCAUGCAAGUCGAACGCGAAAGAGGGAGCAAUCCCUCAAGUAGAGUGGCGAACGGGUGAGUAACGCGUGAAGAACCUGCCUUCAACAGGGGGAUAACACUCCCAACGGGGUGCUAAUACCGCAUGAGACCACGGGUCCGCAUGGACCUGAGGUCAAAGGUGGCCUCUGCUUGCAAGCUACCGGUUGAAGAUGGCUUCGCGUCCCAUAGCUAGUUGGCGGUGUAAAAGACCACCAAGGCGACGAUGGGUAGCUGGUCUGAGAGGAUGGUCAGCCACACUGGGACUGAGAUACGGCCCAGACUCCUACGGGAGGCAGCAGUCGAGAGGCUUUGGCAAUGGGGAAACCCUGACCAAGCGACGCCGCGUGGAGGAUGAAGGCCCUU